rnacentral:rRNA from 1 species
GCCAGCCCGCUCAGAAACUCAAAGGAAUUGACGGGGCCCGCACAAGCGGAGGAGCAUGUGGUUAAUUCGAUGAUACGCGAGGAACCUUACCUGGGCUCGAACGUAAGAUGACUGUAGGUGAAAGCUUACAUCUCUUCGGAGCAUUUUACGAGGUGCUGCAUGGUUGUCGUCAGCUCGUGCCGUGAGGUGUCGGGUUAAGUCCCAUAAACGAGCGCAACCCCUACCUUUAGUUGCCAUCAGGUUAAGCUGGGGACUCUAAAGGAACUGCCUACGCAAGUAGUGAGGAAGGCGGGGAUGACGUCAAAUCAGCACGGCCCUUACGUCCAGGGCUACACACGUGCUACAAUGGCCGAUACAGAGGGCAGCUACCUGGUGACAGGAUGCAAAUCUCCAAAGUCGGUCUCAGUUCGGAUCGGAGUCUGCAACCCGACUCCGUGAAGUUGGAUUCGCUAGUAAUCGCGCAUCAGCCAUGGCGCGGUGAAUACGUUCCCGGGCCUU